UGGCCUCAAAUCAGGCGGGACUACCCGCUGAACUUAA
rnacentral:rRNA from 1 species